UUUGACCACUACACCUCCCCACCCCCACUCAGACGCCCAACGCUCCCCCAGUUCCUUGUGGUCCGUCCUGCCUUCAUCAAAACGCUGGCCAGGUGUGGUCAGUGAUGGGCAGGAGUCACUCCGCUGCCACCUGCUCGCCUCUGGGCGUGGGAGUGGUGUUAGGGAACUGCGCUUGCCGUUCCAAACUCGGGCUUUAAACGUCUCGACUAGCCGUUGGAUCGUGUUUUUCUCACCUGUAAAGCGGAGACGCUCCUACCUCUUAGGGAGUAGGCUGGUGGUCAGCUAAGACUUCGACCUUCUGACUGCCUAUCAACUUAAAUUCUUGGACACAGAAGCAAAGCACCAUGCAAGAAUGCAGUGACAUCUCAAAGGACCCCAAAUCUAAAUCCUGCUUUCCCCCUCAAGACAGCACACGAAGCUUCACUCUGAUGAAACCAGGUUUGCACCAAAGUCCCAGAAACCCUCUAAGGCCAAGCAACGUGUGACAGGACCCAGUUCCUGGAGUGGGCUGGCCAUGAAGCUGAGGGGAAGGCAGAGUUGCUACAGGAUGUUGUUACAGGUGCUGGAACACAAGCCAUCUCCUGAGGGAAGCUACAGCACAGAAGUGGAGGCCACUGGAAGACAGGCCAGAAAUGCCACAGGGGACAGAGCUGUGGAGCAGGGCUCCCCAAGUCCACUGGAGCACAUGAAAUCCUACCAUGACUAGUCAGUCACUAGACACAAACUGCAGGCUUUGGUGUUUAGGAUUCCAGUUUGCUUUGAGAUGAUCUUUCUGAAGUAUGGAAAGUGAUUCUCAACCUUCCUAACGCUUCAACCCUUUAGUACAGUUUCUUACACGGUGGUGACCCGCAACCAUAAAACUGUUUGUUGCUACUGUAAUUUUCCUAGUGAUGAACUGUGAUGUAAAUACCUGACAUGCAGGAAAUCUGAUGUGUGACCCCUGUGAAAAGGUCAUGUGAACCCCAGGUUGUGAGCUGCCGUCCCAUACUGACAUCCAAAUGUUUACUCUGCCACUGUAUACUUUGGGGGAAGUAACUUGUUUCUGAUUUUGCAGGAGCUCACUGUUAAGAGACUGCCUUGAAUUUCAGAGGAAACUUUGAUUUUGUAAACAGUUUUGAAACUGCAAGACUAUGGGGACCUUUGAAGUCAGAUAAAAACAUUUUGUAUUAUGAGAAGACUGUGAACCUAUGGGGUCAGGGGUAGAAAGUGAUGGUUGGAAGUAACAGUUUGUUCCCUAUAGGCUCAAGUGUUUUGAAGACUUGGUUCUCAACCCUGGUGUUAUUUUAGACAGUUAUGGGACUUUUAAGAGGUAGGUCUUGGGGCUGGAGAGAUAG